CGAUAGCGUAUAUUAAAGUUGUUGCAGUUAAAAAGCUCGUAGUUGGAUUUCGGGGUGGCCUGGCUGGUCCGCCGCAAGGUGAGUACUGGUCAGCCGCCCUUCCUCUCGAAAGCCCCGACUGCUCUUUACUGCAGUGGUCGGGUAGUUCGGGACGUUUACUUUGAAAAAAUUAGAGUGUUCAAGGCAGGCUAUCGCCUGAAUACAUUAGCAUGGAAUAAUGGAAGAGGACCUCGGUCCUAUUUUGUUGGUUUCUAGGGCCGAAGUAAUGAUUAAGAGGGACAGUUGGGGGCAUUCGUAUUUAAUUGUCAGAGGUGAAAUUCUUGGAUUUAUGAAAGACGAACUAGUGCGAAAGCAUUUGCCAAGGAUGUUUUCAUUAA
rnacentral:rRNA from 1 species